AUCCCAUACAACGUUGUUUCUUUGUGAUUAUCUGAUUCAUGGGAGGCAAAUAAAAAAAUGGGAGUUCACUGAUGCUAACACCCUUUUGUCUUAGAAAGGUGUUUUAGUAGGGCCUCACCAUGCAUGU
rfam:Populus trichocarpa scaffold_17_contig_394, whole genome shotgun sequence.